GCCGGGUGCGGUGGCGCGCGCCUGUAAUCCAAGCUACCGGGAGGCUGAGGCUGGCGGAUCGUUUGAGCUCAGGAGCUCUGAGCUGCAGCGGACUAUGCCGAUCGGGUGUCCGCACUAAGUUCGGUAUCGAUAUGGUGCUCCUGGGGAGCUCGGGACCACCAGGUCGCCUAAGGAGGGGUGCACCGGCCCAGGUCGGAAACGGAGCAGGUCAAAGCCCCCGUGCCGCUCAGUAGUGGGAUCGCGCCUGUGAAUAGACGCUGUAGUGCAGCCUGAGUAAUACAGCGGGACCCAGUCUUU
rnacentral:SRP_RNA from 1 species